UACGAAGGUCCCAAGCGUUAUCCGGAUUUAUUGGGUUUAAAGGGUGCGUAGGCGGGCUAUUAAGUCAGUGGUGAAAGCCCAUCGCUCAACGAUGGAACGGCCAUUGAUACUGUCUGACUUGAAUUACUGGGAAGUAACUAGAAUAUGUAGUGUAGCGGUGAAAUGCUUAGAUAUUACAUGGAAUACCAAUUGCGAAGGCAGGUUACUACCAGUGGAUUGACGCUGAUGGACGAAAGCGUGGGGAGCGAACAGG
rnacentral:rRNA from 1 species